rnacentral:lncRNA from 1 species
UUAUUGUUUUCUUUUCUCAUAGAACCUCUAGGAGAUUUAAAUUCCAUGUGAUUUUUGAGGAUUGUAAUGCAAGCAAUUUUUGCUUAGCCUGUGACAUUGGCUGUCUCCAUGCACACAUUUCAGAAGCUCCAAGACUACUUCCAAUCCCAAUUUAAUCUGUCCUGAAACGAGGGUUUAUAUAAACAUUUUUUGAUGCAAUGGUAUCUGACUGGGUCUCUUCUCCAAUAAGAUACCUUUUGAGUCCAACAGAGCUGAGAGUUGGGAAACAGGCUAAUGACCGGUGCUCCUUCUGCUGGCGAGUGGUUGUCCACUAGAGGGCAGCACUGCUUUUGGAUCUACUUGGGAACCCUACUGGCUCUAGGAACAGCAUCUCAUUUGAAAACAAACUUGGACCUCAGUUAAUUUUACACAUAAUGACAAGCUAAAUAUUCCAGGCAUAACCAGACUGCACAGCUGAUUUUUUUCCCUCUAAAACAUUCUGUAUUUAAGUUUUGUUUAAUUUCUCUUUUAGUUAGGUAAUACUCUAUAAUGCUCAAGUUUACUAAGAAUAAAUAGAUGUUUUCAUAUUUUUAAAAAACGAGAAGAAAAGAAUCCCUCUGGGAUGACAGUUUUGUCAGGGAUCAAAGAAAGGGGCUUUCCUUUUGGCUUCUGUUGUUAACUCUGUCUCGUCCACACCCCACCAAGCAGGCAGACCAGACGUGCUGUAGGAGGGUGGCAUCGUGUUUCCCUUAGGAAACACUUCAAUUUUAGCUUUUUUUUUAUACAAAGACUAGAUCACUAGGCUGACAGUUGGGAUGGUUUUUAUCUACAUCCUAAUGGAAGUUUGGUUUUCUUACCUUUUUUUUUUUCUUCACCUAUUUGCUAGAGAGAUUCUUUCCCAGUGUUCCAGGUCAAUUUUUUAAAAAACUUGUCUUGGAUAAAUUCUCUAAGUCUUAAUCUCUUGUUAAUGUCUCCCUUCCUGUUGUUGUAUAAUGGACUGAACUUUAAAUGCCACUUAAUAGCCAGCCAAAUAGAACUCUGCACCAUGCAGAGCCUCUGUCCGUUGUCCGUCUGCAGCGCCCUAGUGUGUUAAGCCGAACCAGUAAAGAUUUACAGUGUUGUGUCCUUGGGAAGAUAAUGUUCCGGACCAGACGGCUUCGGAUUGAUGUGUAGGGCCCUACUCAAGCCAGGCUUUCUUACACAUAACGACUGUGCGGCUUCAUUACACAUUUGUCAACUUUGGACUAAUUAUUUUUAUACAGCUAGGGCAGGGCAGUGCAUCCUGUGAUCGUCUUUCUUACUAAUAGGAUUCUGUCUGCUUCAGCAGGCAGUAAUUGAAGGCUUCAUGUAUGAGUCGGGGAAAAAAAAGUUUUAGCCUGAGUGGGCCAUUGUCACAGUUUCUGAUAACCAGUAGAACAGAAAGCAGGAGGAAAUUGAACUCAGAAUAGAAAAAUCAGAGAGCAGGAGACUAUCCAAGAGAAGACAAAAGCUUGUCGCCAAGCUGUUGUUGGGUGCAAGGAGUCUGCCUCUGCAUAAGGAGCUGGCGUUUGUGGGUGCCCCAGGCCAGCAGGCGCAACCUCUCAGAGCUACUCACAUUCAUGUGCUGGCGUAUUCGCUUUACAGCAGGUGAACUGCAACACAUCCUGUCUAGGGGGAGAAAGGGAACAUUAUAGUUUAUAGCCAGCUUCUGACAGAUUUAAAUGAGUUGUAGACAAUAUAUUUAUUCCGAAUUUAUUAUUAUGUGACCGGUUUCAUCAUUCCUACAGUAGUUACAAAAUAACUUUUUACAAGAGUGCAGCACUUUUUUCUCACUUGGGUCACAACAUGAGCUUAGUUGGCCUUUUUCUUGAAUCUUAUGAAUUCAACAAAGAUUAAAUGUCAACUGCUAGAGAUAAUGGACAAGACAUUCAGUGAGAUGGCAUACGGAUGCGACCUAGCGUUUCACUUGCCGGCUUGUCAACAGUGGGUGCUUCUGUUAGAAUGGAAUGAGCAUCAUCAGAUGCCGUCCUUUCGUCACAUGGGGCUGUUGUGCACAAGGUAGCUCUACCCUGCCUGAGUCUCCCUUGUCCUCACUUAUGGUGCCCAGGUUAUCUAUCUCCCGAGUUCCCUCCCUGAUACAGCUCCAUCCAAAAGGAUUUAUAGUCCUUAUGACUGGGGACUUGAAAGGACUAAGCAGAUGAUACUUAACGUUUUCAGUCUCUAAGAACAGGGAUAAAAAUAGGAAGGGGAAUUAAGUCAGGACACCUUGACUUACAGACCAUUCAAAGUAAGCACAUAAUUGUGCAAAGAGAAAAUCUUCCUUCAGGAUUCUGACAUAAUAACAGAAUCGGAAAAUUAGUCUGUUGACUGAUAAAAGCAAAUAUUGAGUGUGUUUUUGCAUCUAUUGAAAGACUGCAUAUGACCUGUAUUCAUAAUGCCUUAGUUUGAGUGCCUGCUCUGCCAUGCACUCGCCCUGUGUCUCAGGCAAAUGCCUCCAGUUCUGUGGCCUCAACCUCCUCAUCUCUGUCAGUCCCCUGCCUCCAUGGGUCAGAUGGAAUUGUGGGAAUGGUUAGCACUCACCUCUGGUCACAUGGUAUAAACAGCUACUUUAUAGCAGUCAGAACUUCUGCCUCC